GAGAAACUGUCUGAGCAAGAAUUAGAGU
rnacentral:piRNA from 1 species